UACAGAGGGGGCAAGCGUUGUUCGGAAUUACUGGGCGUAAAGCGUGCGCAGGCGGUUCGUUGUGUCCGAUGUGAAAGCCCCGGGCUUAACCUGGGAAUGGCAUGGGAAACUGGCGAGCUGGAGUGUGGCAGAGGGGGGUGGAACUCCUGGUGUAGCAGUGAAAUGCGUAGAGAUCAGGAAGAACACCGAUGGCGAAGGCAGCCCCCUGGGCCAACACUGACGCUCAGGCACGAAAGCGUGGGGAGCGAACAGG
rnacentral:rRNA from 1 species